AAUAUUCCUACAUUAAAUUAUAGUGUGGAUUUAAAAAAACUUCCUUAUUACUUUAUCUUGAAUACUUUCUAAGAAAGUACUGUAUAUUUGCAUGUCUGCAUUUGUGUGUUGUUAAAAAUAUGUAAUAUCUUACCUGCCUGGCCUCUAUUUGCAUAUUUUAUUUUUAUUUGAUGUAUUUCAGUUUCUAAAAUAUUGGCAGAGUCUUCAAGAACUAGAACAUCUGGGGCUGGGCAUGGUGGCUCAAACCUGUAAUGCAGGCACUUUGGGAGGCUAAGGUGGGCAGAUGACUUGAGCCCAGGAGUUCAAGACCAGCCUGGGCAAGAUAUCUAAAAAAAAAAAAAAAAAGAAACCCUGUAUCUACAAAAACCUGUAUCUACAAAAAAAUAGAAAAAAUUAACCAGGUUUGGUAAUGCACACCUAUAGUCCCAGAUACUCAGGAGGCUGAAGAAGGAGGAUCGUUUGAGCCUGGGAAAUCGAGGCGGCAGUGAGCAGUGAUUGCGCCACCGCACUCCAUCCUGGGCAACAGAGUGAGAGCCUGUUAAAAAUAAAAUAAAAUAAAGCCUGGCAUACAUUAUAGUUGGAUCUUACUCCAUUGAUCAUUUCCUCCCUUGUGAUUCAUUCUUUCUUCCUAUCCACUGCACUUUCCCCUCAACUAGAAACCUAUUUUCUGUAUUCCCCAAAUAACAUAGUCCUCAAUUUUGCACCAUUUUCUCUUUCUCUUCACCUCCAGACUUCUUGAGGGAAUAGCUCAUACGUUGGUUCCACUUUCUCAGCAUCCAUUUAUUCCUCAACCCAUUAUAAUCUGAACCCAGUCUCCAACCACUGCCUGCAAUCUCUCUUCCUCCAGUCCGUAAUAACAAAACAUAUUAAUGGCAUUUUGUUUAUUUUGUUGGCUUUGUCCAUGCAUUGAGUCAUAGGUAAGCAAAUUUGGGAGAACAUAGAUAUUGUCAUAUAUAGUGUUUUCAAAAUUAAGCAAUGAAACUUUCUUAAAUGCUGUUCAGAUGCCCAAUAUAGACAUGGGGCUGACAUAACUGAACUGAGAUGGGGCUACAUUGUACUAAUUAGAAAUCUAUUUGAAUGCCAGUUUUAAAAAUUCCUGACUUAUAAAGGCUUUAAAAGCAAGGAAAUCAUUUCUGUAAUUGUACAACAAGAUUGAGUUAGGUUGCCACUGUUAGUGGUUUAGCUUCUGUUCUUGAACUGGUAAUGAAAAUGGUGAUGCAGCCAUAAGCACUGGGUCCACUUUUCAAAGCAAAAAGCUGGUAGAAGAUAAGAAAGGAGUGGAGAGUCACUCUACUUGACCUCAUUAAUUACCAGGAAAGCAAAACCUUUCCUAGAAGUCCUUCCUGCAGUCAGCCCCUCAAAUGCAGAAGAACUCAGUUGGCUGCCCCUAGCUCCAAGGCAGCCUGACAGAGAACAGGCUUGUCAUAAUGGGCCAGAUGAGUUGUGAUUCAUUGCUUGGGUACAGAAGAACUCUGAACAAGAUCAAGGUUCUAUCAGUGAUAAAUAAGGGAGGCUAAGGUAUUGAGGAACCAUAUAAUGUUAUUUACACUACCUACUUUCUAAUCUGCCUCAUCUACUCACCUUCCUCUUUCUCUUCCUGUAAUCUUAUUGCAUGGAAGAAAUUUUUGGUGAAGACAAGUUGUCUGUUUUUCUUAAAAUCAUUUUUUUAGCUAGUGGUAUGUCUCGAACACUUUCCUAAUAGUUCAUUGAGAUAAAGUCAUAACAUUUUUUUUUUCUUUCUUCGCUACCCUCACUCAUUGCCCCAUUGGAAUUGACUGCAAAUUGCAAUUUUCUAGAGAAAGAAUCAGUAAUCCUUUCUACACAGUGGCCUUGGUGAUUUCAAAACUUUAAGAAUAUUUAAAAUAUUCAAGUUCUUUCUCCAAAAACUGGUGACUUUCUGCUGCUGAGCUCCUGAAAGUUUUUGAGAAGAAAGUUGAAAGGUUGAAAAUGGUGCUGUGUUUAUUUGAAUAUCUGAAGGGUAAACUCCAAGCUACUUAUCUGAAAACAAAUAUUCUCUGAAACCUGCAGAGUAAAGAAGUAUAACUUGACAUUUCUUCUGCAAGAAAAAAACAAGAAGAUGGUGACUUUCAAGACCUCAGUCAAUGACUAAAGUUCUGUGACCACAGUGAGCAUAUUACUGCGGUAACCAGGGCAGUAAUGUCAAGACAAAGGUCAGGGUUGGCUUUAAGAAAGAAGCCUGAGAACCGGAACUACAUAGAGGCCAGAAAAUCAGUGUCUACAUGCUAAAGGCAAUUUUCAGGAACAAGUACCAGGAGCAGAUCAACAAAACAAAGAAGAUCAACAAAACAAAUAAGGAAGGUGGUUUUAUGAACCCAGAGGGGCAGUGGUUAUGAGUUGUGGUGCCACUUUAUUCAACCUUAUCUGCUUGGAAGUUUUUCUCCUACACCAUUAAACCCCUCACUGAACCAAACUUUGUACAGACUGCAGCCAAGAAGGGCUGUAUUAUGGCUUUCUUGGACCUCUUCAUCCACAAAAAUAUUAAAAAUUGUAUUUCAUGACUUAAUGUUCUAAUUGUGUUUUCUUAGAUUCUGUAUUUGUCUAUUUGGCAUCGAUUCUUCACAGGGCCAAUACUGAAUUUAUAAUAUUUUAUUAUUAUCUAUAUUCUUGUUGCUCUGGCAUUUGGGAGCCUUGUAGACCAUGGAGAAACUCCUCCUCCUAGGGCUAGCUAAUUCCUAAAGAUAAUAACAAUUUGCCUAUGAACGCAGGCCUUUCAUAUGCAAACCAACCAAUCCAUUAAUUACUUCCUUAUCUAACUCUCACACACUAAGCCAAUGUUUGCCCUGCCUUAAAUUAUCCCAGGGCCAAGUAUCACUCAAGUGGAGGCCAUCCCUAUAGCCCAAAGUCGAGCCGGAAUUUUUAAAGCAAGCCCUGUUCUAAAUUGUUUGCUCUGCCCUGUUUUUCCUAUGGAAAACCCAAUAAAGCCUGUGGUCUAAUGCUUUCUCUUUGCUCCUUUCUGCCUUCUGACAGACACCCAUGCCUUCUCUGUGUCCCUGCAUAGCAUGAGAUGUCCCCUCUCUGCGACCUUUGAGUAUGAUAAAUUUCUUUCUUCCAAACCUCCUUCUCAUU
rnacentral:lncRNA from 10 species